AGAGUUUGAUCCUGGCUCAGAACGAACGCUGGCGGCAGGCUUAACACAUGCAAGUCGAACGCUCGUAGCAAUACGGGAGUGGCGGACGGGUGAGUAACGCGUGGGAACGUGCCCUGAGGUACGGAAUAACUGAGGGAAACUUCAGCUAAUACCGUAUGAGCCCCGAGAGGGGGAAAGAUUUAUCGCCUUGGGAGCGGCCCGCGUCGGAUUAGCUAGUUGGUGGGGUAACGGCCUACCAAGGCUUCGAUCCGUAGCUGGUCUGAGAGGACGAUCAGCCACACUGGGACUGAGACACGGCCCAGACUCCUACGGGAGGCAGCAGUGGGGAAUCUUGCGCAAUGGGGGCAACCCUGACGCAGCCAUGCCGCGUGAACGAUGAAGGCCUUAGGGUUGUAAAGUUCUUUUACCCGUGACGAUGAUGACGGUAACGGGGGAAUAAGCUCCGGCUAACUUCGUG
rnacentral:rRNA from 1 species